AGUGCUAGAAUUAUACCAUCAGUUCAUGCCACAUGACUUAACUGAUAAUUAAAUUUUAUGCAGCCUUAAGUUUGUUCUUAGAAGUCCUAAGACUAUAAAUCUAACAGCAUAUCCUCAUGACUCCGUAUAACCACAAUAAACUUAUCUAUGAUUGGUGACUAAUGCUUUCCUGAGUCUGGAGACCAGGGGCUCAGCAAGUCUUUGUUCUCUCUGUCAUGAGUGUAUCACCCUCUUAAAUCCAUCCCAAGUGAACAGUUACCAUUUUCUUCUUUUCAACUGAUCUCCAACUCGAAGCCACUCUGUUCUGUGGUUGCCUCUGCCUUCACCCCUGUAUGAGGAUGCCACGCUUUCAUGUUAAGCCUCUUGUGGGCAUCUCUACAGAAUCUCCCUGGCAUUUUACAGGCACAAGAUAAGGAAAACACUCCCUAGUUACAGAUGGAUCAGAUGUCAAGCCUUAGCUCUGCCUCUGCUUGCCAUGAAGCUUUGAUUACUGACUCUACCUUGCUCUUCCAGUUCACCAACAGUAAAACAGCACUGGCUCCCUGGGAUGGUGAGAAAAAUUAACAUAAAAUCACAGAAUGCACGGAGCAUGACAGAUUCUGGCAAAUGGAAUUGGUAACAAAGGAAAGAUGGAUUUGCAAUGGAAGUCGCUGGAAUCAGAAAUAAGAUGCUUUGCUUGCAGUGUGGCUCGGUACAUGGAUAUCUGCCUGGAAAACGAUCACCGUUCAUGGGCUUCAUCACUCGGACUCAAAGGUUCAAACUUAGCAGUCAAGAAGGGGUCGUUUCAAAUUCUGAUUCCGUUUAGGUAAAAGGAAAAAUGAUCUUGAUUUUGUCCAAUACCUUUUGUCUGACCUUGAGAUAUCCCUAGGCUCAGCUGUAAAGUGCAUCUCUUGGCUUUGAGAGGGAUGCUUGGGUAAUCAGGCUGUGUAAAUUGCAGCAGUAAAAAGAAAAAAAAAAAAAGCAAAACGGAAAAAAAAAAAGGUAACAACAAAAAUCCUCCAAGAGUAAAGAUAAAGAACAACCUGUGUAUACCCUGCUCACAGAGAAGACACUAUGUACCGAAAUAACCGAAGCUGAAUGUAACCAUUCUCCAGCAGUGCAAGCAAGCCCUGCCUCCCAGGCUGGGUGACCUUGGGGAAGUUACUAUAAUUCUGUUUACCUUGGUGUCCUCCAAUAAAACGAGAUUAAUAAUGGUAA